AGUAAAUUCAGUACUAGAAGCUCCUGGAUAGUUAUGCUAGUUUUAUACUUUGCUGACAAUUUUAAUUGUAUGUUCACAUACAUACAAACAUCUUGCACUUUCAAGUUGUAGGAAAUAUUAGAAACUAUUUCAUUUCCAUCAAAGAACUGAAAGUUUAAAUAUCUUUCCCUUCUUUCUCCUUCCCUCCUUCCUACCUUUUUUGCUUCCUUCUAUAUGACAUUUUGUUUAAUAUGACAUGACAGUCAUCAAUAGAACAUGAUUCCAUAGUAUGCAAGAGUCAAUAAUCCUCUACACUGUGUUCAAAUUUUCCCUACAAAGAAGUCGCCGAAAAGAUAUAAACAUUCAUUUAAAUAAAGAAUAUGGUAAACCAGCUUCUUAAAAAAGCCUAGAUACAAAAAUAAGAGUAUAUUUUUGUUAAAGAAGAAACAAAAUCUUCAACUGGGUUAAAUUAUUAACAGAUUUUGUUUUUCGUGAGAGUAUUUUUGUGUCAAACAUCCUAGAAAAUAUUAGAUAUUGCAGAUGAAUAAGACUGUUUUCCAAGUGCUGGUGAUUCAGUGGGGGUGAAGGAAAAAGAGAGAGAGAGAAGAAGAAUAAACAGAUGAGUAAAAUGAGGAAUGUCAAAAUCAAGUGCCAGAGAUGAUAAGAUAGUGCAGCAGCAAAAUAUUUCAGUCUGGAGAGAGAUUUUGGAAGAGGUAACACUUGAAAAACUUAAGAGAGAGAAAGAUGAAAAGGAGAGGCAAGAGUGUGACAAAAGGGAAGAUAAUACAGGGAUACCUUAGAGAUAUUGUGGGUUUCAUUCCAGACCACUGCACUUAAGCAAAUAUCUCAAUAAGACAAGUCACAUGAAUGUUUUGGUUUCCCAGUAAUAAAGUUAGAUUUAUACUAUAUUGUAGUCUAUUAAGUGUGCAAUAGCAUUAUAUCUAAAAACUGUACAUACCUUAACUAAAAAAUGCCUGUCUGUUAAUAAAUACCACUGAUCACCUUACUGUCAAGAAGUCCUAAUUUUUUGCUUGGUAGAGUCUUGCCUCAGUGUUGAUGGCUGCUGAGUCAGGGUGGUGGUUGCAGAAGGUGACCCUGACAUUUUCUUAAAAUAAGGAAACAAUGAAGUUUGCCACAUGAAUUGACUCUUCCUUUCAUGAACAAUUUCUCUGUAGCAUGUAGUAUGGUUUGGUAGCAUAUUACCCACAAUAGAACUUCUUUCAACAUUGAAGUCAGUUCUCCCAAACUUUGCUGCUGCUCUAUCAGCUAACUUUUAUUUAGUAGUCAAACUCUGUUGUCUUUUCAACAAUCUUCACAGCACCUCACCAGGAGUAGAUUCCUUCGCAAGAAACCACUUUCUCGGCUCAUCCAUAGGAACUAACUCCUCAUCCACUAAAGUCUGAUCAUGAGAUUGCAGCAGUUCAGUCGCAUCUUCAGGCUCCACUUCAGAUGCUAGUUCUCUUGCUGUUUCUAUCACAUCGGCAGCUACUUCCUCCGUGAAGUCUUGAACCGCUCCAAGUCAUCUAUAAGGGAAUAGGAAGGCCAGGGGAGAGGCAGAGAUACACAAGAAAAGCUUGUCAGUGGAGUCGUCAGAAUGUGAACAACAUUUAUUAAGUUGUCUGGCAUGUGUGGGUACAGUUCAUAGCACCCCAAAGCAAUUAUUAGUUUGGUGCAAAAAUAAUUGCGGUUUUGCAUUGUGGAACUUUGCCAUUUGAUAUUGUAAUACAUUCUUAAAUAAAUGUGGUUAUGUUGUACAUCCUUUUAAUGCA